rnacentral:rRNA from 1 species
CGGAUAACGGGGGAGGAAGGGUGGGGAGUGACGUCAAGUCCGCAUGCUCCUUACGUCUAGGGCUACACACGUCCUACAAUGGGGUCGACAAGUGGGAUGCAAUAUCGCAAGAUGGAGCCAAUCCCCAAACGGCCUCUCAGUUCGGAUUGUAGUCUGCAACUCGACUACAUGAAGUUGGAAUCGCUAGUAAUGGCAGAUCAGCAUGCUGCCGUGAAUACGUUCCCGGGUCUU